GUUGCCUCGGCGGAUCAGCCCGCGCCCCGUAAAACGGGACGGCCCGCCCGAGGACCCUAAACUCUGUUUUUAGUGGAACUUCUGAGUAAAACAAACAAAUAAAUCAAAACUUUCAACAACGGAUCUCUUGGUUCUGGCAUCGAUGAAGAACGCAGCAAAAUGCGAUAAGUAAUGUGAAUUGCAGAAUUCAGUGAAUCAUCGAAUCUUUGAACGCACAUUGCGCCCGCCAGUAUUCUGGCGGGCAUGCCUGUUCGAGCGUCAUUUCAACCCUCAAGCUCAGCUUGGUGUUGGGACUCGCGGUAACCCGCGUUCCCCAAAUCGAUUGGCGGUCACGUCGAGCUUCCAUAGCGUAGUAAUCAUACACCUCGUUACUGGUAAUCGUCGCGGCCACGCCGUAAAACCCCAACUUCUGAAUGUUGACCUCGGAUCAGGUAGGAAUACCCGCUGAACUUAAGCAUAUCAUA
rnacentral:rRNA from 1 species